rnacentral:rRNA from 1 species
AAGCGGGAGUGACUUAGCGGCGGACGGGUGAGUAACGCGUGGGUAACCUGCCCCAUACCGGGGGAUAACGGUUAGAAAUGACCGCUAAUACCGCGUAAGCGCGCGAGGCCGCAUGGCCCCGGGCGAAAAACUCCGGUGGUAUGGGAUGGGCCCGCGUCUGAUUAGCUAGUUGGCGGGGUAAAGGCCCACCAAGGCGACGAUCAGUAGCCGACCUGAGAGGGUGGCCGGCCACAUUGGGACUGAGACACGGCCCAAACUCCUACGGGAGGCAGCAG